UUUAACAUAAUAUGUCUUCUAGAUAUUUGUAAGAUGUAUGACAGAAAUGUUUGUCAAAUGUUUGUUAGUAAUAUUUGAGUGAAGCAAGUGUUUGAUAUGAAAAAGAAAUAUUUUUUAGAUAUCACAUUAACAUGAAUGACUCCUCAUUUUUAUAGAAGAGCUUUAAUAAUUCCAAAGAGGUUAUAUGAGAUAAUCUCCUUGAUAAUUUUAACCUUUGAGGAACAACUCAAUCGUGUAUUAUUAUAACUUUUUUCGUUCAACUUUAAUUGAUGAAACAUAAUAAACAAAUAUAUACAGAGUGAUAUUUGAUACAACCAUUCUGUUAAUCAAACACAUUCUGAUAAGGUUAACCAGAUGUUGGACACAUUUCAAAGAUAGUUGCUAUGGUAAUUAAGAUUAUAGAAAAUCUAAAUGUAAUGGGAUGGUCAUUUUUGAGGUUAUUUCCUGUCGUCUAUUUGUAACUUCCGAAAGCAGUGAAAACAAAGAAAACUAAAAGAGAAAAUCACAGUUCAAAGAGAAAGAAACAUAUCUGGUAUUUGAGAACUACAGAAGACAAAUUAAAGCAGAGUGCAAAAGGAAUUUUAAUAGUCAUUGAAAAUAUUCUGGCUUCAAAAUGCAUGGAAAUGGAGAUGGGACAAAAUGCAUUCUACCAUUUGAUAGCCCAGAAUGAAUUACUUUAAAAGGCUAACAAGAAGAGGAGGCUCGCAGUAGAAGAUACAGAAUAAUUAAUAAAAUGUUAAAAUGC